rnacentral:rRNA from 1 species
AACGAACGCUGGCGGCGUGCCUAACACAUGCAAGUCGAACGGAAUUAGAGAGCUUGCUCUUUGAUUUAGUGGCGCACGGGUGAGUAACGCGUAGAUAAUCUGCCUGACGAUCUGGGAUAACACUUCGAAAGAGGUGCUAAUACCGGAUAAGCCCACGGGUUCUUUGGAAUCUGCGGGAAAAGGGGGAGACCUUCGGGCCUUCUGUCGUCAGAUGAGUCUGCGUACCCUCAGGUAGUUGGUAGGGUAAAGGCCUACCAAGGCGACGAUGGUUAGCUGGUCUGAGAGGAUGAUCAGCCUCACUGGAACUGAGACACGGUCCAGACUCCUACGGGAGGCAGCAGUGGGGAAUUUUGCGCAAUGGGCGAAAGCCUGACGCAGCAACGCCGCGUGAGUGAUGAAGGCUUUCGGGUCGUAAAGCUCUGUCAAUGGGAAAGAAGUGUAUUUUGGCUAAUAUCCUUAAUACUUGACGGUACCCAUAAAGGAAGCACCGGCUAACUCCGUGCCAGCAGCCGCCGUAAGAC